rnacentral:misc_RNA from 1 species
CGAUCACGCCUUCGGACACGCUCCUCUCCCCCGCUCCCUCCCUCCCUCCCCUCCGCUUCUUCGGCCACUCCCGUCUCCUCCACCGCCACUGCAUCUACCGUGUCGCAGACGCAGACGCGUACGUCUCCGUGCUCCACUCACCGCGCCCGCCUGCGACCGUCCGCGAGCUUUAUUAUAGCCAUCCAAGUCCAACACAGCGCAGAGAGUGCGCACGAUACCACUGCCAGACAGAGUGCGGAGCGCCACUGUCGUCCAGAACUCCAUACACCAAGCCAUGAAAGCGGACGCUCCGGCGACGCCGUGCAGGAAGCCGGCGCCCCUUCCGCCGCCGCCCGCGCUGCUCGCCGUGCGUGCGCGCUCGCGGUCGCGGGUGGCCGACCUGGGCUUCGGCGCGGCGUUCCCGGGCGGCCCGCCGGACACGCCGCCGCGCCGCUCGCCCGUCACCGUGCCGUUCCUCUGGGAGGAGGCGCCCGGGAAGCCCAAGGCGCCGCCGCCGCCCACCGCCGCGGCUCCGGCCGCCACCAACGCCGGCCCCGUUCCCGAAGGCGGCGGCGGCGGCGGCGACGACGAACAGCACGACGACCAGGCGCGCCCCGUCCCCGUGCCGCUGAAGCUGCCCCCGCGGCUGCAGCAGGUGGCGUCGUUCGCGGCGGCGGACACCCCGCUGCUUCCGUCCCCGAAGGCCGUGCUCCAGGGCCCCUACUACUACGGCUGCGCCGGCGACGGCAGCAGGAGGCCGCCGCCGAGGUGGUUCCGCAGCGGCGGCGCCUUCCGGAGGACGCCGAGCGCCGGCGUGGGACUCUUCUCUCGGACCUGGAGCAAGCCCGCGCCGGCUCCGGCGCCGGCAAGCGGCAAGAGCAGACACGGCGACGACCACGAGCGCGACGCGGCGGGGCCCGACGCCCCGUGGUGCUCGCCGGCGUCGUCCUCCUCCUCGUCGUCUGUGUCCACCUGCUUCGGCGGCGACGAGCACGGUCGCGGGAAGCCCUGCGCCGACGGGCGCGAGGUCUCCUCGGAGGAGGACGGCGGCUCGCCUCCGAGGGGGUCGGUGAGGAUCACGAGGCUUAGGAGGAACCGGAGCCUCCCCAGCGUCACCACGUCUAACCUCUGGGCAAGCAUCCGUAGGAGUUUCGAGCAGAUUACUCCGUGGAGCUACAAGUUCGGUCGGUCACGACCGCCAGGUGCCAACGCUACUGAAUAAAUGAAUAAAUUAUCGGAAGCACCAAAUCGCAAUGCAACCUGUGGUGCGUGGACGUGGAGGCUCUGCAACCCAUGUAGCGAAAAAAGUCUCUAAUGUAUGCUACCUUCGACUUUGGAGUAACCUACGCACGGGACCCCAUCCAUCGUACCACACGUUCUUUCUGUAUAAGAUUUUUGUUCAGUUCGCUCUCUAUCUAUAUAGAUUGAGUGAAUUUAAAUUUUAAAUAAGUCAAAUAUCUACUUAAUUUUUCUAAUUCUAAUCCAUUCCAUGUAUAAUAAAAAUAAUCGAACAAUGGCUAAAUGUGAUACGACAUUGUCAAAGGAGACGGCAAUAACAAUGAAGAAACUGACUGGGACGGAGGGCAAUACCAUAGGUCAUGCCAGCGCACAAAACAUGUGAUACCUCUCAUGUCAAAGAGACAAAAUCUUCCGUUGGUUUUCAAACCCGUACCUAGUUGCACGGGAGGAGGAGGGCAGCAGCAGGAGGCUUCCAUCUGGCGAAGAAUUAGAAAUACACGCAGAGGUUAGUUACUUUCUCCGUUUCAUUUUAGUUGUCGCUAGACAGUAUACAGUUUAACUAUCCAGCGACAACUUAAAAGAAACAGAUAAAGUACCAUGGAUCGUUUUCGGAGACAGACGAAAUGCAGGUAGCACUUGUAACGUUUUCUUUCCCGUGACGUUUUCACGGGAUGGUUAUAAUAACCGUGGAUUAGUUGUUAAUCUCACUCUCCUUUAGCAUUGAUUGACAAAU